AGUGAACGCUGGCGGUAGGCCUAACACAUGCAAGUCGAACGGCAGCACAGUAAGAGCUUGCUCUUACGGGUGGCGGGUGGCGGACGGGUGAGGAAUACAUCGGAAUCUACUUUUUCGUGGGGGAUAACGUAGGGAAACUUACGCUAAUACCGCAUACGACCUACGGGUGAAAGCAGGGGAUCUUCGGACCUUGCGCGAUUGAAUGAGCCGAUGUCGGAUUAGCUAGUUGGCGGGGUAAAGGCCCACCAAGGCGACGAUCCGUAGCUGGUCUGAGAGGAUGAUCAGCCACACUGGAACUGAGACACGGGCCAGACUCCUACGGGAGGCAGCAGUGGGGAAUAUUGGACAAUGGGCGCAAGCCUGAUCCAGCCAUACCGCGUGGGUGAAGAAGGCCUGCGGGUUGUAAAGCCCUUUUGUUGGGAAAGAAAAGCAGCAGGUUAAUACCCCGCUGUUCUGACGGUACCCAAAGAAUAAGCACCGGCUAACUUCGU
rnacentral:rRNA from 1 species